AACGAACGUUGGCGGCGUGGAUUAGGCAUGCAAGUCGAACGAGAAAGGGGGGCAACUCCCCGAGUAAAGUGGCGAACUGGUGAGUAUAAGGUGGGUAAUGUGCCUCACAGUGGGGGAUAACACCUGGAAACAGGUGCUAAUACCGCAUGUGGCCGGAGGGGUGCUUCUCCUCCGGUUAAAGGUGCCCGCAAGGGUGCCGCUGAGAGAUCAGCCCGCUCCCGAUUAGCUAGUUGGUGGGGUAACGGCCUACCAAGGCUGUGAUCGGUAGGUGGCCUGAGAGGGUGGUCACCCACACUGGGACUGAGAUACGGCCCAGACUCCUACGGGAGGCAGCAGUCUAGAGGCUUCGGCAAUGGGGGCAACCCUGACCGAGCGACGCCGCGUGCGGGAUUGAAGGCCGUAAGGUUGUAAACCGCUGUCAGCAGGGAAGAAUGCCCGGAUGGUGAAUCCGAGAGCGACGGUACUUGCAGAGGAAGCCCCGGCUAACUCCGUG
rnacentral:rRNA from 1 species